rnacentral:sRNA from 1 species
CCCCCGUGAUAGGGGGAGGGGGCUCCUCGGCA